rnacentral:rRNA from 1 species
GGACAACGUGCCCUAAAGUGGGGGAUAAUCAGGGGAAACUCUGGAUAAUACCCCAUAGAUCAUGAGAUCUGGAAUGACUUAUGGUUCAAAGUUCCGGCGCUUUAGGAUCGGUCUGCGGCCUAUCAGGUAGUAGUGGGUGUAAUGUACCCCCUAGCCUAUUACGGGUAUGGGCCUUGAGAGAGGGAGCCCAGAGUUGGAUUCUGAGACACGAAUCCAGGCCCUACGGGGCGCAGCAGUCGCGAAAACUUCACAAUGGGCGAAAGCCCGAUGAGGGAAUUCCUAGUGCUAGCACUUUUGUGUUAGCUUUUCUUUAGCGUAGAUAACUAGAGGAAUAAGGGCUGGGUAAGACGGGUGCCAGCCGCCGCGGUAAUACCCGCAGCCCGAGUGGUGGUCGAUUUUAUUGAGUCUAAAACGUUCGUAGCCGGUCUGAUAGAUCCUUGGGUAAAUCGGGGGGCUUAACCUUCCGAAUUCCGAGGAGACCGUCAGGCUUGGGAUCGGGAGAGGUAAGAGGUACUUCAGGGGUAGGGGUAAAAUCCUGUAAUCCUUGGAGGACCACCGGUGGCGAAGGCGUCUUACUAGAACGAAUCCGACGGUGAGGGACGAAGCCCUAAGUCGCAAACGGGAUUAGAUACCCCGGUAGUCUAGGGUGUAAACGCUGCAGACUUGGUGUUGGAGGCCCUUCGGGGGCAUUCAGUGCCGGAGAGAAGUUGUUAAGUCUGCUACUUGGGGAGUACGUCCGCAAGGAUGAAACUUAA